rnacentral:rRNA from 1 species
AUGAACGCUGGCGGCGUGCCUAAUACAUGCAAGUCGAGCGGUAAGGCCCUUCGGGGUACACGAGCGGCGGACGGGUGAGUAAUGCAUAGGAACGUACCCCAAAGUGAGGGAUAACUCCGGGAAACCGGAGCUAAUACCGCAUGUGGUCUAAGGAUUAAAGCUUCGGCGCUUUGGGAACGGCCUAUGUCUGAUUAGCUAGUUGGUGAGGUAAUGGCUCACCAAGGCGACGAUCAGUAGCUGGUUUGAGAGGAUGGUCAGCCACACUGGAACUGAGACACGGUCCAGACUCCUACGGGAGGCAGCAGUAGGGAAUUUUCCACAAUGGGCGAAAGCCUGAUGGAGCAACGCCGCGUGCAGGAUGAAGGCUUUCGGGUCGUAAACUGCUUUUAUAUGUGACGAUUAUGACGGUAGCAUAUGAAUAAGGAUCGGCUAAUUCCGU